GCACCCAUAGUUUAAUGGAUAGAAUAGCGGUUUGCGGAACCGUUGAUCCAAGUUCGAUUCUUGGUGGGUGCACCA
rnacentral:tRNA from 1 species